GCCUGGCACAGCAGAUCCUCGGGAAAAAUCUCCAGUAUGGGCAAAUGGCGCCCCGAUGUGGUAUCGUGGCAGGUGUUGGCACGCGCACGCUGUUAAAAGAGGCACUUUAACUGUGGCAACCCUCGUGCAUUGCUUUGUAUUUAAUACAUUCACAUGCAUUUACUACUGAACCUCAACAUGCAGGAAACACGGAACGAAAGAAGCACAGAAAUCAACACAUGCCACACACACACACACACCAAUAUACCAACACAAGCACGCACCACCACAUGCCGUGUGUAAAUAAUUAAUUACCGCAUACAGAAAAUUGUUCAUAGAUUAACAAAUUAAGGACUGCAAUCUUUUCUAAGGACCUCCGCGAGCCUAUUAGGACACUUUUUUCCAGGAUAGGAGUUAAAUUCAUCCAGAUAUAGCAAUUUUAAGUUAAAAUAAUAGAAAAUAUAUAGUAAAAUUACAU
rnacentral:sRNA from 1 species